rnacentral:rRNA from 1 species
GGAAUCUUGGCACAAUGGGCGCAAGCAUGAUCCAGCCAUGCCGCGUGAGUGAUGAAGGCCUUAGGGUAGUAAAGCUCUUUCGCCAGAGAUGAUAAUGACAGUAUCUGGUAAAGAAACCCCGGCUAACUCCGUGCCAGCAGCCGCGGUAAUACGGAGGGGGUUAGCGUUGUUCGGAAUUACUGGGCGUAAAGCGUACGUAGGCGGAUUAGUCAGUCAGAGGUGAAAUCCCAGGGCUCAACCCUGGAACUGCCUUUGAUACUGCUAGUCUUGAGUUCGAGAGAGGUGAGUGGAAUUCCAAGUGUAGAGGUGAAAUUCGUAGAUAUUUGGAGGAACACCAGUGGCGAAGGCGGCUCACUGGCUCGAUACUGACGCUGAGGUACGAAAGUGUGGGGAGCAAACCAGGAUUAGAUACCCUGGUAGUCCACACCGUAAACCGAUGAAUACUAGCCGUUGGGGUCCUAUGAGACUUUAGUGGCGCAGCUAACGCACUAAGUAGACCGCCUGGGGAGUACGGUCGCAAGAUUAAAACUCAAAUGAAUUGACGGGGGCCCGCACAAGCGGUGGAGCAUGUGGUUUAAUUCGAAGCAACGCGAAGAACCUUACCUACUCUUGACAUCCAGAGAAUUUAGCAGAGAUGCUUUAGUGCCUUCGGGAACUCUGAGACAGGUGCUGCAUGGCUGUCGUCAGCUCGUGUUGUGAAAUGUUGGGUUAAGUCCCGUAACGAGCGCAACCCUUGUCCUUAGUUACUAACAUUAAGUUGAGAACUCUAAGGAGACUGCCGGUGACAAACCGGAGGAAGGCGGGGACGACGUCAAGUCAUCAUGGCCCUUACGAGUAGGGCUACACACGUGCUACAAUGGCCAGUACAAAGGGUUGCCAAGCCGCGAGGUGGAGCUAAUCCCAGAAAGCUGGUCGUAGUCCGGAUCGGAGUCUGCAACUCGACUCCGUGAAGUCGGAAUCGCUAGUAAUCGUGAAUCAGAAUGUCACGGUGAAUACGUUCCCGGGCCUUGUACACACCGCCCGUCACACCAUGGGAGUGGGUUGCUCCAGAAGUAGAUAGCUUAACCUUCGGGAGGGCGUUUACCACGGAGUGAUUCAUGACUGGGGUGAAGUCGUA